CGGCCUCGGCGCGCGCGGAUUGGGCGCCUGGGGCUGUGCGGGACGCCGGCGGCGGCUCUCCCUCCAGCGCCCCGACGCUGCCCCUAUUCCCGCCCACUCACGGAGAGGGAAACUGAGGCGCGCCGCAGUUGCCACGUUGGAGGGGACCAAACGGCAAGGAACCGAAUGCUGCCAACAUCUAGUGAGUGAGCUUAGACGCAAAUCCUUCCCCAGCCAGCCUGCGAAUGAGACCACAGCCCAGGCCGACAGCCUGUGAGAGACCCUGAGCUGGAGGAGGCCACGCCCAGACUCCUGCCCCACAACAACCGGGCCACAGCAAUGUGCUCAAGCUGACAGCACUGUCCUCAGCAGCAGCCCUACACAGUAUUGAGUGCCACAUUCUCCAAAGCAGGUCUGUGACCUAAAGCUGAGGCCAGCUCGGCAAAGGCAGCCCUUUUCUAAGCAUCUAACCUGAGUCUGGUGGUUUACUUUCCUGACAUGAUGGCAGAAGACAAGGCCCCGUGCUUUAAGCAGUUCAGAACGCUGAUGGGAACAGGGGCUCUGGAUCCAGACCGCCUGGGGUCAGGAUCCGGAUUUUCUCCCCAGGUAACUGUGGGACCCUGGGCCUUUCACUGAAGCUUUCUGAAUUCAGUUUCCCUAUCCAUCACGUGGGGCAGAGCUACUACUUACUUUACAGGGCUGAUGGCAGAAUGACAUGAAAUAAUACGUACCCAAGGCUGAGCCCAAUGCUGGCAAAUGUAGAUGCUUAAUGCAUAUCAACUCUUGUUCUGUUCACGGAGGGUGCUUGGUAAAUACUUUCGGAACCCCUGCAUUUGGUACGCGUCGUGAAGGAUUCAGCCUUCGGGGUGGGGCGUAUGCUAUGGGAUCCAGACCCGCCCUGGAAAGCAGUGCAAGGAAGGUUUUGGGCUGUGGGACACCUGCAGCUUGACACGGUCAGUUAUGACCCUGCUGUGUUCCUGCUGAAAACCUUCUCUGAUUCCUCGUCGCAGGAGAGCAGCCUUCAAAUGCUGUAUCCCAGGCACGUGGGGCUCGUCCCUGACUCACCACCAACCUUUCCACUCUACACCCACCUGCAUCCUAUAGUAACUCCGGAUGCCAGCCUGUCGUCAACUCACCAGGCCUUGCUCGUGCAGUGUCCUCUUCCCACGUCUGCCUCGCUCACGGACACAUUGUAGUUUCGUGGUUGUGUUUUUAAAAGGAAUCCUCAUCUUUUGAGAGCCUCAAACCAGCCUGUUUGCAGAUGAAAUGAUCCGAUGUCGGGGAUCUGCUUCAAAGUCAUGGCAGUCUCUAAGACGACAAUGAUCCCCCGGGACCAGCUUAUUAAAAGCAAAAAAAAAUCCAGCGGCAGAGGGGACGUGGGGGACCUGGAUGAGAUCUGUGAAGCCUCGGUGGAUGCUGUGUGGGAUCUCUGAGAACCCCAGGCCCCGAGGAGGUCCGUGGGGGUCUCCGAAGGCAGAGCCGAUGCUGAGCUGUACCCCCAUCUGGACAACGGAUGGCCCUGAUCCUCUCUGCUCAGAAAUGCCCAGUGCGACGGACGGAUGUGUGUGUCCCCACCACCCUCCCCCGCCCCCCAGCAGGUCCACAAGCUCCCAGCCGCAGAGAAAAAAUAGAUUCUGCAUUGUAACCCAGUAGACACGGAUGCUGGCGUAUAACUAAAUAGAAGACUUAUGCAAUGCUACUUAUUAUAAGAAAUGCCAUCUGGGGUUGUCUCUUGGAUGCUGUCCUUCCCCGUCCUGUCCUGUCUGCCCUGUCCUAUCUCAUCCCAUCCCGUUCUGUUUAAAAGGCAAGGUGGCUGGUCAUGACCUCGUCAUAUGGCUUCAUGUCCCACCGCUUGGCGUGACCUUCGAGGAAGCAGGUGGCCCAGAUGCUGGAACCUCUCCGGACCUCAGUCUCCCCAUCUCGAGAAUAUGAGGGUUUUUGCAAGGAGACAAUGAGGUGACGAAUGUACGAGUGCUUUGCCCAGGGCCUUGCAGCCAGCGGGGGCACAGUUGGUGUUUCCCAUCACCACCACCACCACGGGCAAGCUUCUGGUCGCCUGGCCUCAUUUCCCCAUCUGCGUGUCUCAGCAGUAAGACUCGCUACUCCAAAGGGCUUCUUCAAGGAUGAGUCAUGUGAUGUGUGCAGCAACCAUGUUUUGAAAAUGGAAAAGGUGUUAUGGAAACAUUAGUUACCAGAACUUGUUGUUAUGAAUAGCACAAACCAGCCAGUGGAGGCUAUUUCUGGCUACCGAGUUCCUUCUUUGAAGAUUAGCUUUUUUAAACAAGCAAUUUGUAUGUGUCCUGUAAAUAUCAGAAAAAUGGCCGGGAACAAAAGGAGACAAAGAAUCCCUACUCAGAGGCUCCCGUUGGCGGUGUCCUUUAUCCCUGAGAAAGUGUCAAGGCAUUUUCCCAGGGUGGGUGUGUGUGUGUGUGUGUGUGUGUGUGUACCUUUUCCCCCCUCUUUUAACAACAACAAAAAAAUGGGAUCGUUCUCUCCUGGCCGCUGUCAUUUCUGAUGUCUCAGAGCACAGCCCGAGGGCGGCUCUCCCUUUCUGUCUGCCCGUGUGAUUCCGGGGCAUCGGCGCAUGUGUCUUCACGGCCCGGAUCUCGUGCCGAGACUUUUUUGGGUUGAGCACAACAGCAGACUCUUCAGUGGGAACAGAAACAACCACGGAUGUCAUGAAAAGCCAUGUGGCCCCCUUUGGCUGUGUCCUAACAGGGCAUAGAGAGAGAGUGCAAGUGAAGGAGAGGUGCAGGGGGAUGGCCCUGGCAUCACAACCUGAGCCAAAAUCAAGAGUUGGAUGUUCAACUGACUGAGCCACCCAGGAGCCCUAGUGUUUCAACUAUUUUAAACUCUACGAUUUCGUGGCAUUUAGUACAUCAAAAUAGUGUGACCAUCACCACAACCAGCUUCCAGAACAUGUGUAGACAAACCCCAUACCCAUUAGAAGUCGCUCCCCACUCCUCCCAGCCCCAGGCCCCCACGACUCAGCCUUCUGCCACUGUAGAUUUGCCUAUUCUCGAAAUAACCUACAAAUGGAAUCCUA